rnacentral:tRNA from 1 species
GCUGACGUAGCUCCAAUGGUAGAGCAGUUGUUUCGUAAGCAGCGGGUUCAGAGUUCGAGUCUCUGCGUCAGCUCCA